CGCAAAAAAAAAUAAAAAAAUCAGCUAUAUGUUCCGGCAAAAAACAUCAGCUCGAUACAUCCUGAAAUCUCGUAUAGCUCUGAUCGGAGAUAAAAGGUGAAACAACUGUGGAAGAUAUAUUUGUCAUAGUGCCAUUCUUUGAAUAUUACAUUAAUACACACUUGCAAGUAUACAUGGCUUCAUAAACUGAUGGCUUUCAGAAGCAGUUGGUGUUUUACAAGUCAAUUUCUUGCGCACGAGCGAUGUUGGCCUUGGUCUUGGUCUUGGGCAUGGAUUUUAGGUGGAUGGUCCUCCGGUUGCCCACGGUCGCUGCGGGGCUGCCACGUAUGACACUAUAUUGGUUUCUGAUGCAAGUUUGUGUAGCAGCGCCGCAUAGAAAGGUUCCAUACCUUCAAGGAAAACAAAUAUAGUAGUAAUUACUGAAAGCCCAUAGAUAGAAGAGACGUCGAACUCAGCAGAAAACACACUUAUAAAAAGAGGGGAAAAUCAUCUUAAUAUAUAUUCUCUGUAUAUUUGUUUAACAAGUAGUCACACCCAAAAAAAAGCAUGUCACAGAGAGAACUGGUCACAUGCUGGCUAGGAAAGUGGUCACAUACUGGUUAAUCAAUUUCUAGGAAGCUUCUAAAAAGAUGCGAGUCCACACUGCAAAACGGAGCCUCCACAUGCUCACACGCAAGCGAAACUGUAAAGUUUACGGGGAGCAUCUAUAUUCCGGAACAGCGGUCAAGAGGAACGGAAAUGAAACAACUUUUGAUUACGCAUAUCGAUCAUCGAUUUUCGUACACGUACAAAUAGUACCUUGUAUGCAAACGCGAGCUACUUGGAUAACGAAAAUAAUAACAAAUCAAUAAGGAGAGAUAUAGAUGUGCACCUGCUGCUAUUGGGUGGCCUCGCUUUGAAUACGGAUGAUCCUGAUGCUUCCGUCAGAUUCGACAAUGAUAACAAGAAUAUGGUUGUAGCUCGGAGUCGGAGUUGGGGUCGUCGGCGGUAGCGCCAUUAUGUAGAAUGAGCACGUCUAGACAACAACAUGUGGCGUAAGAAGGCAGGAAACGAAAAGAAAAGAAGUAGGAAGGGGAACUUGGGAGAGUACCGUUGCACGGCGCAGAUGGACGUUGUCCGAUGAGGUCGGUGGGUUCCCCGGUGCGGUGCGCGCGGAUGAGGAGAUCGAAUUCAGGAGCUAGCUCGGGGUUGCAGAGGGAGAGGAGAGGGAGGUUUCUGUGUAUCUGCGGUUGAACGGGAGGAAAGAGGAGACGUUCUUGCUGGUGCUUGAAUUUGCCCAAAAGCUCGAGCCAGAGGCCUCCCUUUUUGUAAGGUUUGCACUACGUAUUACCGCGU
rnacentral:lncRNA from 1 species